rnacentral:rRNA from 1 species
GACGAACGCUGGCGGCGUGCCUAAUACAUGCAAGUAGAACGCUGAAGGAGGAGCUUGCUCUUCUGGAUGAGUUGCGCACGGGUGAGUAACGCGUAGGUAACCUGCCUGGUAGCGGGGGAUAACUCUUGGAAACGAUAGCUAAUACCGCAUUACAGUAGAUGUUGCAUGACAUUUGCUUAAAAGGUGCAAUUGCAUCACUACCAGAUGGACCUGCGUUGUAUUAGGUAGUUGGUGGGGUAACGGCUCACCAAGGCGACGAUACAUAGUCGACCCGGGGGGGUGGUCGGCCACACUGGGACUGGGACACGGCCCAGACUCCUACGGGAGGCAGCAGGAGGGAAUCUUCGGCAAUGGACGGAAGGCUGGCCGAGCAACGGCGCGGUAGUGAAGAAGGGUUUCGGAUCGGAAAGCUCUGUUGUAAGGGAAGAACGAGUGGGGGAGUGGAAAGUUCACACUGUGACGGUACCUUACCAGAAAGGGACGGCUAACUACGUG